CUGAUCAUCAAACAAUUGAAGAGUAGCUACUGCCAUGUUACCACUAGCGCCAAUAUUACCCAGGAUCGGUAUAGGAUCAUCUCGAAGUUAGGUUACGGGGCAUACUCAACUGUCUGGCUGGUCUGGGAUGAGAGGUUUAAAUCACUUUCUUAACGUUUUUGUUUGCUGACAGUAUGCUUCACUUAGCGUUUGCGCACGAGAUGAUGGGGCAAAUACCUUUCCCAUACUCAAUGAAGUUUCCAUGCUCCAGCACUUGAAGAAAUGUGCUGCUGCUGAAGAUUACCCUGGAUUGCUCGUUACACGUCUUGCGGAUGAUAUCUUUGAGAUUAACAUGCUAUCUGGUCCCCAUUAUUGUGUCUUCUCAAAACCUCAAACCGGCAGUCUACGAGAAUUAUAGAAGACAUUUCUUGAAGCCAAGGUGCUAAAGCUGC
rnacentral:sRNA from 2 species